GGUAGGAUGGCUGAGUUAAGCGGUGGAUUGUAGCUCCAUAUAUAGAGGUUAAAAUCCUCUUUCUAUC
rnacentral:tRNA from 1 species